GACGAACGCUGGCGGCGUGCUUAACACAUGCAAGUCGAACGGAGUGGCGGACGGGUGAGUAACGCGUAAUCAACCUGCCCUUCAGAGGGGGACACCAGUUGGAAACGACUGCAAAUACCGCAUACUGAAGGGGGGGAUGGGGGCGGAUUUGCUAGUUGGAGGGGUAACGGCCCACCAAGGCGAUGAUCAGUAGCCUGUCUGAGAGGAUGAACGGCCACAUUGGGACUGAGACACGGCCCAGACUCCUACGGGAGGCAGCAGUGGGGAAUCUUCCGCAAUGGACGAAAGUCUGACGGAGCAACGCCGCGUGAGUGAUGACGGCCUUCGGGUUGUAAAGCUCUGUUAAUCGGGACGCGGUACCGGAAUAGAAAGCCACGGCUAACUACGUGCCAGCAGCCGCGGUAAUAC
rnacentral:rRNA from 1 species